UACGUAGGGUGCAAGCGUUGUCCGGAAUUAUUGGGCGUAAAGAGCUCGUAGGCGGUCUGUCGCGUCUGCUGUGAAAACUCAGGGCUUAACCUUGAGCUUGCAGUGGGUACGGGCAGACUAGAGUGUGGUAGGGGAGACUGGAAUUCCUGGUGUAGCGGUGAAAUGCGUAGAUAUUAGGAGGAACACCAGUGGCGAAGGCGACUUUCUGGACUGUAACUGACGCUGAGGCUCGGAAAGCGUGGGGAGCAAACAGGG
rnacentral:rRNA from 1 species